AUUGAACGCGGGCGGCAUGCUUUACACUGCAAGUCGAAGGGCAGCACGAAAGAGCUUGCUCUUUUGGUGGCGAGUGGCGAACGGUUGAGUAAUGCAUCGGAACGUACCGAGUAAUGGGGGAUAACUAUCCGAAAGGAUAGCUAAUACCGCAUACGCUUUGAGAAGGAAAGUGGGGGCUCUUCGGACCUCACGUUAUUCGAGCGGCCGAUGUCUGAUAGCUAGUUGGUGGGGUAAAGGCCUACCAAGGCGACGAUCAGUAGCGGGUCUGAGAGGAUGAUCCGCCACACUGGGACUGAGACACGGCCCAGACUCCUACGGGAGGCAGCAGUGGGGAAUUUUGGACAAUGGGCGCAAGCCUGAUCCAGCCAUGCCGCGUGUCUGAAGAAGGCCUUCGGGUUGUAAAGGACUUUUGUUAGGGAAGAAAAGGAUAGUGUUAAUACCAUUAUCUGCUGACG
rnacentral:rRNA from 1 species